rnacentral:misc_RNA from 1 species
ACAAUUUGAAGUUACACAAAUUCCUACAAGAAGCUGUAAUUGCUCAUAUGAUUUGACAAUUUCAAGUGCAUAAUUCUUGAAAAUUUUUAUGCAACUUCAUUAUCAUUUGAAAAUUUUAAUGUGCAUGAUCUACAUGAAUAAACUAUUAAAUCUAAUGUUUGGUGGUAAGGAAUCAAGUUGUACUGAAGUUAUGAAUCAUGUCUAAUUUGUAUAGAUUAGACAUGUAAGUGGAUUCCUUCCCUUAUUUUUAGCCCUUUUUUCAGCAUGAUUCUGGUGCAUGCUUACAUUAAAGAAAAAAUUCGUUGAAG